UGUGAGGCAGUAUGCUGUGUUUGGGAACGUUGGCUGUGGUGCACAUUGUGAUAACUGGAGCGCAUAGGGAUGAAUUAAGCAGGGGCCGCAGGUAAAGCACCUCUGUGGAGAGGAGCUGCACUGCUCUGAACUUUCCUGUUGCCCGCCUGAACUCAGGGAAUAGGAGAAGGGAUAUUGUGUGCACUCAAGCAGAAGCGGAGAAGAUGCCAAGAAAGGAGAGAAGCAGAUGGAAAAGACAGAGAAAGCUCAAGAUGAGGAGAGAGCAGGAAGGAAGGAGCAGAGGAAGGAUAAAGCAAGAGGGAGGUGAGAAAAGAGCUGGAGCUGGGAUGCCACAAAGCAGUGGCCAAGGCAGCAAGAGAGCUGCAUCUCCUCUUUCUUGUCCUACAAACCAGACACAGACGUGGCAGCAGCUAAUCUUCCUGGCUCAUGAACAAAAGGAUUCUUUUCAUGCCAGUAAUCUAAGAGCUGCCAUGCCACGGCUCUCCCAGCUCAUCUGCUGUGAAUGCACUUAUGUGGCGUCCAACUGAACGGGUUAGCAAAAUAAAGACAGAUGGCAAUGGA